CGAGUGAGCUCGGCAGCGCUUCCACUCAAAGACCUCUGCACGCCGGCGAGCGAUGCCACAUAAAACCCGAGGGGUCUGCAGGAGGGUCAGAUCAAAGUUGCUUCUCAGUUCGCCGCUCCGAGCCCCGCAGCGACCGCAGCGGGCUGGGAUUCCCAAAGCCACGUUCACACCUUCGAUAGUGCACUAGCAAAGACAAGCCCGCAGAGGCUGGAGUUUCCACAGGGGGCACCGUCGGGGAGACGCAGCCCGGGAGGACGGGAGGGUUGGGCUCGCUACCUCUGCACACGGGCGAGCCGGGGCUCCGUCUCUCAGGGCCUGAACUAAGUGAACUCAAGUCUGGGGUGGUCACCAUCAGUCAAGACAGAGAAGCAGAAGAAACUUGCCUUCUGAGAUAAAAGAAUGAAUUGAGUUGCAAAAAGGAAAAAUGAGACCAGGCGACCAGAAAGAAGGAGAGAAGCCUGACAGCACGAUCCGUCUGGCUAGAAAGCCCAAGUUGGAGUCAGCCAUACAUGAACCAGCAGGGGCCCCACACUGACAUGGAUGAAGCAGCUCUUCCCUCCCUACUGACAGAGCUGGGGGCUUCGGCACAGUUCAGUGCUGACACUACACACGUGCAUUUACCUUCUCAAGCCAGGCCAAAGAAGGCACAAUCUGUUCUGGAUUGUGUUCAAAGUGCUGGAGCUGAAGAGUCUCUUAUUUGGAUGUAACCUCAAUCCCUUAAAGCAUGAAACCCCCUUAGGACAGACCCUUCCUCAACCCUAACCACACUUGUUCCAAAUAAAAAAUAUUGAUAAGCA